GAACUACUACCAGAUGGUUGAACCGAUACCACCCAUUUUCGAACUUGACCUGAGGAUUUCAAUACUUCGUCGAAUAAAAAAAAGAUUUUGAAAAUCGGUUGAACUUUGCUCCAGUUAUCUUAUCGUGUCAACAAAGAGGAGAAAAGGCUUCUGUCGAGAACUACUACCAGAUGGUUCAACCGAUACCACCCAUUUUCGAACUUGACCUGAGGAUUUCAAUACUUCGUCGA